UUUCAAUAAAAUAUGCAUGUUUAUCUGACAGAGAAAAUGCAUUUCUUAUGCAGGUCGCACACCUUAUUUGGUGUCUCCCAGCACUUCCAUUCAUUGCCUGUAAGUAGCUGAAUUUUCUAAAAGAUGUGAUAAGUGACUUGUGUUGCUUAUCAGCUACAACAAACUUCUGCAACAAAUUAUUCAAUUUUGUUUUAAAAAAAAUUUCUUUUUUCUUUUCAGUAAGGAGUGUGUUAUUCCUCAAAUUCAAACUUAAUAGGUGAGAUAUACUGCAGAAUCAGUAACAGUGUGUGAAAAAUCUUCUAGGUGACGAUCCAAAAUUUACUAAAGUUAACAGAUCUUCCUGGUGCUUAGUUGCAAACAUAUGUGCACAUCCACUCAGUGGCACAACUGAGUGACUUUUUUAUUGCUCGUGUUGCAUUUACAACCAUAUGCACUUAAAGGCUAUAUUAAUACCGAAAUUGUGAUGUCCCUCAAUGUAUUGGAGCAAGUUGCUAAACCGAGCACUCCUGCUGAACUAAACAUGACAGUUUAUGACUAUUCACCAAACCUAAAGAUGCACAAUUAAAUAUCUAUUAAGUGCAAUUGAUUAAUUAACUGGUGUGCUGGCAGCAUAAAGUGUGUCAUACUUAAGUGAAAGCGAACAAUUUACCUUGCUUGAUGAGGUGGUUUGUCUGUUGCCUUCACUGAAGAACAGACAUAUACCAACCAGCUCCCACUGUAGAAUUAGCGUACUGCUGAAGGGUAACUGAUCUAAAGAAGCAUACACCUUCUAGCGUGUCUGCUAUCAUAGAGUGGUUUGAGAUGGAAAGAACCUUAGAGAUCAUCUAAUUCCACCCCCCCUGCCAUAAGCAGGGACACCACCCACCAGACCAGGCUGCCCAAGGCCCCAUCCAACCUGGCCUUGAACACUUCCAGGGAUGGGGCAGCCACAGCCUCCCUGGACAACCUGUGCCAGUGCCUCACCACUCUCACUGAGAAGAAAUUUCUCCUCAUGUCUACUCUAAAUCUUCCCCUCUCCAUUAUAGCCAUUCCCCCUAGUCCUAUCACUACAUGUCUAGUCCUAAUACUACAUGUAAAUGGGAACUCCAAAAUAACUGCAUGGUCCAAGUGGUAUAUUAAACUUUUAGAAAUAUUUCAAACUAGGCAGAAUGAAGAAAUUAGUAGAAUAUUUAAGAAGAUAGACAACAGGAAAGCACCUGUAAAAAAAGUUGUAUGAGCAGAAGGAAUAUUACAAAGAUAUGUAAGAAAAGCUAUACAGAAAGACAUCAUCUGCAGAUGAGACAGUCUGAUCUCAGUCUGCAAGACAAGAAAUAAAAUAAAUUGUAUGAGGAAAACUAUACAGAGGUCAAGCUGAUAUAAAUUGAUGUACAUUAAGCAAUUAACUGUAGUUGUCAGAUUUGUAUGUCUUAGUUUUUUAUCAGAAAUAGACAAAACCAGGACAGUUACAAUUUGUAGACUGAAGGCAGAAUUCAGUCGAUCAGAAUGCCCUGUGAGUUCUGCUGGAAAGGGAAGUGGAGCAUAAUAGCACCCAGGAGGUGCACAAAUAACAGUGCCACGUAAACAUGAGAAGUCACCGGUUCAUUGUCUGCACCACAACACUAUUUGGUUCAUCCAAUGGAAAUUCAGUGGAAAUGAAGUAUUGCUGAGCAAGAUAUGUUGGAAAGGGAGAUUCUGCUUUGUAAUCUUCACAACUAUUUUGUUUGUCAUUCAGCUUAAAAUACUUCACACAACGAUCUAUCUAGUAUCUAAGUCACUGUGAAUUGCAUGUGGAUAUCUGAUUUUAUGACUGGAAAACUGAUCUUGAAACUCCAGGAAAAAAAUUUCAUGUCAUUAAUUUUAAAUUCAAAGCAAUAUUCAAAAGAAUUGUAUGAAGAUCGAUAAAUAGCUAUAAUUAUUGAGGAAAACUAGGAAUAAAACAUUAAAUUGAAGGCUGAAAGCCUCUAGGCACUUUGCACCAUUAAAUAUAUUUCUAUUUUUAUAUCUCAGCUCUUCCCGAGAAAGAAAGAAAAUGAAGAACUUUAAAAGAAAACUAUGAUUCUUUUACUGAAAGAAAAAGAACCUUGAACACCUUCUUUGUUAUGAACAAAAAUUACAUUAGAAUGAAAGUCAGCUUCCACUACCAUAUUAUUUAAGCAGAAAAGAGCAGGAAUUUGUUCAACAAGAGACAAAUUGCUGGGUAGACUAUUUCCAAUAUUGCAUGUACAUUUUUGGGUACAAUGCAUAUAUUCUGGUAGGCCAAGUUUCCUGAACAUUGGCAUAUGAAGAACAUCUCAAGAAAGUAAAAAUUAUUACUAGAGAUUCAACUGAAGCAACAGUUACAAACAAUUACUUUCUUGCCUCCCUGUCAGGAGCUCUGAAAAUUUAGUUUGAAGGUGUUUCUGAUUUCUAGAUUAACUAGGUGAGAAAUCUGUACAAUCUUCUGAUGCUUUCCAUUUUACAAUUGCUGCAUAGAGUAAAUCACUAAAAGGCUUUUACAUAAGAAAAUAUGUUGCAUAAGAUCUAAAAUAAAUUGCAACUUAAUUUUAUGUAUUUUUGGUGUAAGCUUUUCUUGGUAUCAUUUUAUGUCAUUUCAUUAUGUAACAACUAUUGCUUCAAUGAGUCCGAUGUCAGUGCAGGACUUCUGUUAUAAAGUUAUGUGGUAUAAACUGCAUUAAUCAUAGAACUACUUCUGCUUCCUAAUGUAAACAAUGUUGCAUUUCUUUGUAAUGGUUUUGUUUAAACAUUUAAAUUUUUGUCCUUUGUUACAGUGCAGGAUUUCUACUUUCUGAUUCUUGUUAAAAGCUGAUGACUUUUUUCUGCCUUUUAAAUUUGGGAACCCAUUUGUUUUUAACUUACUAAGUAGUCAUUGACUUCCAUUCAGUAUGUCUUUUUUUCAAACAUUUAUUUUGUGAGUAAUUACUGUGUCGCUGCAAGUUUCUGUCAGGUGGUCUGAAUCACUGGCCUUACAUUGCCUUAAUUACUAACAUCCACACAUUGGUCAAAUGCUUCUAAACCCCAUGAUGCUCCACACGCCUCAGUACGAACUUUCACAAAUGAGAUACUCUUCUUUUUUUAUUUACUGAUAGAAUGUUGCCUACACUGUAACUGAACUGAAAACACUGACUGGAUGGCAUAAACACAGAAAUAACCAUACUUUCCAAGGCAAGUUACAUGCUAUUUACUAGUAACUUGUGAGGAUCAUCAGGCCAAGCUGUAAACGUUUUAAGUUCAGCUCUUAAAAUAAAAAAUGGGUAUUAAAAAUGUUAGACAGGUUGUUCAUUGAAUCCCUUCUCACUUCGUGCGCAAAAUGCAUUACCUGUAUUCCCAACAUCCACCAGGUACCACAAUACUGCAAAAAAAGCCUCAAAAAACUACCAUUUGCCAAAGGAAGAGAGUAGGAAAUAUCUGGGAUAUUGAAAACUCCUAGAUCAAAUAGAAGGUCUGGCAAUUUUAUUUUUCUGUCUCACACAGUGGCCGAUAGAUGACUAAGAAUGACUGGAAAGAAGGAAAGAAAACUGUCUUUAAAGAAAUUAAAAAAAAAAUCUCAGCAAGAAAUGAAGUUGUUUGACUAAGGAUUUAUUCAACUGCUUAACUGCAGCUUGAAAUAAUUUUCUGAGUUAUGUGUCAUAAUAUAUAGAUUAAAAUUUAACAUUGGAAUCUGAAGGCAAUCUCUAGCCAAUAUCAAACUUUAGGCUGGAGCUUUAGACAAAGCUUUUGUUUUGUGCAAUAACCAGCAAAAACUCAAAAAAUACAAGACAGAGCUAUAACCCAUAAAUUUUGUGAAUUGUUUGGUUUUUUUAAUUGCACCUUUAUGUAGGGGACCACGAUAUUAAAUAUUCCAUAAGUGUGACUAAAUAACUCCAAAAUACAGAACACCUGGUAGAACUAUCUUGUAAUAGAGUAGUAUUUAUAAGUGUAGGUAGUAACAGCCAAGUUACCUCCUAUGUAAGUUAUAGGUUUACCACUGAGUCAGUGCCAAACACCGAACAGUGCUAGAAAAAAAGAUAUUGUCUAAUUAAAGGGACCACAAGGCUUUAAGAAGUUAUCUUAAAAUACAGACAAACAACAGAAUUGAUCCAUUUUAUGCUGAACCUUUUUCUCCACACUAACUACUCUUGGACAAAAUUCCCUUUACAAUGCCUGACACUUCUCUAGCCUCUGUUUUGCCAGUGUUCACUCUAGUGUUAACACUAGAAGGUAAGUGCAGUAAGUCCUUUCGAUCUGCAAGUGAGCCUCACAGAAGCCAGGUAAGCUACCUAAAAUGUUAGAGCAACAUUCUUGCACUUUUGCCUUUAAAAGACUUCAAUCUGCUCAACAAAGCAGAAAUUUUUGAGGUCAUGGCAUGUCUGACCCAUUAAAGAAUGCAUGGCCUGACUGUUGGAUAACCCAUACAAUGACCCCUUUCAAAGCAAAUUAACUGCUUGGAGCCAUAAUGAAUCAAGUAAUCUGUCCCAUUCUAAGAAAGAUACACAUAUCAGGAAAGAAGUUUUCCAACCUCUAACGAUUCACUGUAUCCCAAACCAUGGACAACUUGGUCUAAGUGAAAUAACCAAAUGAUGAUUUUUUUUUCUCCCUCUGAAGUCUGUAGCAAGACAGAACACUUAGUGAUGAUAAUACAUUCAGAAGUUCAUUCAGAAAUAAAUGGGAUGGCAUGGUGACGAACAGCUUAUCAAACAGAAAAAAAGCAGUUUUCUGCAUCUGCUCUCUGUAACUGUUAUCCCUGUAUGUAUUAUACAUGCAGUAUCAUUUCACUUCCUAUUUCCACAUUCAAACUGAGCUGUCAUCAAAAGUGUAGCAGCAUUGUAAAAGAAAUUUCCUUGCUCCAGAGAGCUGAAGAAUUGUGUUUGUACAUGACUACAAGCUAAAUGUGGAAGUGGGACAUGUGUCACCCCACGAUCGCCAUUUCAGGUCAGGCAUAUGGUAAGGAUGCAAAGUAACUUGUAUCCUAAUAUAUCAUAUUUUAAACCAAAACCACAUUCAUUUUCAAAGGAUUUGAAACAUCUUCCUGCAUAUUUAUAGUAUAACUCUGGGAAAGUGAAGAUAUCCUUCAUCAUCUGCCUUUUAGUUCUUCUGAAGAUAUGAUUCCAUCAACACCUUUAGCAUGAGUCUAUGACAAUAUAAGUUAUUUAUGUUGCUGCAUGCAACAUGAAACAUGACUAUAAAGUGCAUUCAUGUACAAGAAAGUAAAUUUUUUUCCUAAAUAGUGCUGCAAUGACAAUAGAUGACUUUUUGUCUCUAAAGUUGAAUUUCAUUGCCAAACAAUUUAGCUGGGUCCCAAAGAAGUGUUCCCAAAGCCCUUCCUCCUCUCCUCUCCCCUCCCCUCCUCUCCUCUUUUCUCCUCUCCCCUCCCCUCCUCUCCCCUCCCCUCCCUUUCCCUCCUCACCCCUACCCUCCAUCAAUCCUGUUGAACACACUUGUGAUUCAGAAACAGAAAAAAAAGAAGAAAAUAUAUCGAAACCUGAAUUUAACUAUAUAAUGCUACAUUAAUCAUAUCACACAUCAACAGGGUAAGACAAAUUGAACACAAGUCUAUUCAUUAACUGCAAGAAGUAUUUCAAUUAUUGAUAUAAUAUGGAAGAUGAGAUUAACUUAUAUUUUAGUAGUAAGAGAAGGAAAGCUCCUACAAACAAGAAACAAUUUUAGGUUGAAUAGAUAUGAAAACAUUUCAUUUUUAUAGAAGAUGAAAAUAAAAAAGCUAACAAUCCCCUCUUCUUCAGAUAUUUAGGCAUGGUACUUUCAGGCUGUCUCUUAAUGUGCCCCAGCUUCUAUUAUUUAUGAAUAUGAAAAAGUAUGGGAAUCCUACACAUUAAAACCUUAAUUAAAUCUACACAUUAAACCAAGAAUUUUAGAAACUGUAUUCUAACUUUAUCUUUUCUCUCUGAUAAAUAAAUAUCUUCAUCCUUUACAUUUGAGUUCCAAGGUGAUGUGCCCCCAGUGUGUAACUUCUGCUGUAAGACCUCAAUGAGAAUGGAAGAAGAAGAGUUUUCCUGUAAGAGUUCUUCACCUAGGCCAAUAGUUCAUGUACAAGAAGUGGCAUUUUUCUGUAGAUUUCCAUUUAUCGUCUCCUUCAUGGUCUUCAGCUCAGACUACAGGACUUUCCAGUGUCAUGUGCAACUUUAUCUCUCUCAGGACACAAUUGUCUGGGAGCUAUUUAAAAAAAGAAAAUAUUUCUGCCAAUAUUUCUAGCAGUCUGGUGCAGAGGUAUGGAAAGUUUGGGUUUUUUUGGAGGGGGGGAGUUGGUUGUUGUUUGGGGAGGGGAGGUUGUUUGGAGUCUUUUGGUGGGUUUUUGGUUGGUUGGCUUGGUGUUUUGUCUUUUGUUUUACAAUUAGAGGUAUUUUAUCUUCUUUUUAAUGCCACUACUCAUUCAAAAUCUCCAUGUGGUUAAAAUAUACAAUCUUUUAUUUAGCUGGUAGAUUGACACUUCCUAUGUACAAUAGAUAGCUCACUUUGUCAUCUUAUAGAUAUAGAAAAAUAACUGAAAAAUGUACUUGAUCAGGACACCUCAUAAGAGACAGAGCUCCAUAUACUAAACAUUUUUAGAAAAAAAUUAAAAAUAUUUUGUCUUGAGCCAACAAUCAAAGAAAACUUACACUAUGCUUCAGUUUCUGAGCAGUAAUUGCAGGACAAAAAAUGCUAAAUGCUAAAGAGCAGUACUUGGGUUUUUCAAAUUAGCAUCACAAAACAGAGAAUGAAUUCGCUAUGCACAAAAAGCCUGAAGUCAUUUGUGUGCCUAUAAAAAGUAUCCUGAACAUAAAAGUGCCAAAAUUUCAGAUGAGGAAUUGGAGAAGGGUGCCUCUUGUCCUUGCUUGCAGAAAGCACGUUUACUCCUUGUUUCAGCUUUAAAAUAAUAAUUAAUUGAAGAAAUAUUUUGUGAUGAUUACUGUUAUUGAGGAAGAAAAAUAGAGGAACAAGCAAAAAGAGAGAUGGUAUACAGAAGCUAAUUCACAGACAGGUUAUCCUGUUCAGGGUUUCUUGUUUGCUACAACUCCCUUGACAGCAGAAAUGCUUGGUAUACAAAAUUUUGAUUAGCACAACUAAAAAUAUAGCAUUAAUUCCCAGUAGGCUAUAAGAUAUUCAAAGAGAGCAGGCAACUGGUCAUAUAAACAUCAGCAGACAAUCUAUUAAUAAAUCAUCAGAUCACCAAAUGCUCCCAAGAAUGCCAAGCGACACUUGGCAAGUGACAUAGUAUCUAACUUUACAAUAUACAUCUCACUGAUGUUUUUGCAUUGCCAAAAUCAGGCAACAGUGCACUCACAUAAAUACUAUUUUUAUGCUUUAGUAGAUUCUUACAGUAUUUCUGCUAUAGGCAACUGUACUGGUUUGAGCUAAAGCUAGUCUAAGUAACUUCAUUUACUGUGUUUUUCAGGCAGUGUUUCUCUCUAGAAGUGAUAACACUUAACAGUCUGCACUGUUAAGCAGAAAAGCCAUUGUUUAUACUUAUUCCUAUAGAAACCAAGGCCAUCCUUGAGUUUGUGGAGUGCCAUUAAGUGAAAGAGGUGAAAAAGGGUCACAGCUGCAGGGAGGGGUGGAUGGGAGAGGUCACUCUAAACUGACCAGCAGAGUAUUUCAUUCCACAUACCUUGAUAUAAAACUGAGGGAUCAUGACGGUUGAGCUCUCUUCUUUGAUGGCCAGUGUACAGCAAGGACCUUGUCUGCCUUUUUACCCCUGAUCCCAGAUCUGUGUGUUCCUAAGUCCAGCUCCCUUCUGCUGCUCAGUCCAGCCCUGGACCUUUUCCCUGUGCCUGCUCUGCAGCAUAAGUGGUGAUGUAGUUA